AUUGAACGCUGGCGGCAGGCCUAACACAUGCAAGUCGAACGAGUGGCGGACGGGUGAGUAAUUUCUGGGCAACUGCCUGAUGGAGGGGGAUAACUACUGGAAACGGUAGCUAAUACCGCAUACCAUCGGAUGUGCCCAGAGUGGAUUAGCUAGUUGGUGGGGUAACGGCUCACCUAGGCGACGAUCCCUAGCUGGUCUGAGAGGAUGACCAGACACACUGGAAGUGAGACACGGGCCAGACUCCGACGGGAGGCAGCAGUGGGGAAUAUGGCACAAUGGGCGCAAGGCUGAUGCAGCAAUGCAGCGUGUAUGAAGAAGGCCUGCGGGUUGUAAAGUACUUUCAGCGGGGAGGCGUUACCCGCAGAAGAAGCACCGGCUAACGCCGUGCCAGCAGCCGCGGUAAUUC
rnacentral:rRNA from 1 species